UACGAAGGGGGCUAGCGUUGCUCGGAAUCACUGGGCGUAAAGCGCACGUAGGCGGAUCUUUAAGUCAGGGGUGAAAUCCCAAGGCUCAACCUUGGAACUGCCUUUGAUACUGGGGAUCUCGAGUCCGGAAGAGGUUGGUGGAACUGCGAGUGUAGAGGUGAAAUUCGUAGAUAUUCGCAAGAACACCAGUGGCGAAGGCGGCCAACUGGUCCGGAACUGACGCUGAGGUGCGAAAGCUAGGGGAGCAAACAGGG
rnacentral:rRNA from 1 species